UAGUGAUGGAGUGACACAGAAGGAAGGUUAAGCGCGAGGAUGGAAAUUCGCGUCUAAGCUGGUAGGGUGUGAUGUAGGCAAAUCCGCAUCAUGAAAAGCCUGAGAAGUGAUGGGUAUAGUUACCUUGGUAACUAGAAAUUAACUGGACCACGCUGUCAAGAAAGGCUUCUAGCGAGAUUAAAGGUGCCCGUACCGUAAACCGACACAGGUAGGCGGGGAGAGAAUCCUAAGGUGCGCGGGAAAACCCUCGUUAAGGAACUCGGCAAAAUGUAUCCGUAACUUCGGGAAAAGGACAACCUAAGCUGAUGAAGUCAUUAACUGACGGAGCUGGAGUAGGUCACAGAAGAGAGGCCCAAGCGACUGUUUACCACAAACACAGGUGCCUGCUAAGAGAAAUCUGACGUAUAGGUGCUGACACCUGCCCGGUGCUGGAAGGUUAAGAGGAGUGCUUAGAGCAAUCGAAGGUAUGAAUUGAAGCCCCAGUAAACGGCGGCCGUAACAAUAACGGUCCUAAGGUAGCGAAAUUCCUUGUCGGGUAAGUUCCGACCCGCACGAAAGGUGUAACGACUUGGGCACUGUCUCAACGAGGGACCCGGUGAAAUUGAAAUACCUGUGAAAAUGCAGGUUACCCGCGACUGGACAGAAAGACCCCAUGGAGCUUUACUGCAACCUGACAUUGAAUUUUGGUAAAUAAUGUACAGGAUAGGUGGGAGACGGAGAAUAAGGAACGCCAGUUUCUUAGGAGUCAUUGUUGGGAUACCACCCUUUAUUUACUGAAAUUCUAACUGAAGAAUUAACAAAACUCAAGACAGUGUCAGGCGGGCAGUUUGACUGGGGCGGUCGCCUCCGAAAAAGUAACGGAGGCGCCCAAAGGUUCCCUCAGCGCGGUCAGAAAUCGCGCGAAGAGUGUAAAGGCAGAAGGGAGCUUGACUGCGAGACGGACAGGUCGAGCAGGGACGAAAGUCGGGCUUAGUGAUCCGGUGGUACCGAGUGGAAGGGCCAUCGCUCAACGGAUAAAAGCUACCCUGGGGAUAACAGGCUAAUCUCUCCCAAGAGUCCAUAUCGACGGGGAGGUUUGGCACCUCGAUGUCGGCUCAUCACAUCCUGGGGCUGAAGUAGGUCCCAAGGGUUGGGCUGUUCGCCCAUUAAAGUGGUACGUGAGCUGGGUUCAGAACGUCGUGAGACAGUUCGGUCCCUAUCCAUCGCGGGCGUAAGAAACUUGAAGGGAACUGCUCCUAGUACGAGAGGACCGGAGUGGACGAACCAAUGCUGUACCAAUUAUUCCGCCAGGAGUACAGUUGGGUAGCUACGUUCGGAAAGGAUAAACGCUGAAAGCAUCUAAGCGUGAAACCAGCCUUAAGAUGAGGUUUCUCAUAGAGUAAUCUAGUAAGACCCCUUGAAGAAGACGAGGUAGAUAGGCCAGGUGUGGAAGUACAGUAAUGUAUGUAGCUGACUGGUACUAAUAGGUCGAGGGCUUGACUG
rnacentral:rRNA from 1 species